CAACGCCGCGUGAGGGACGAAGGCCUUCGGGUUGUAAACCUCUUUUAGCAGGGAAGAAGCGAAAGUGACGGUACCUGCAGAAAAAGCACCGGCUAACUACGUGCCAGCAGCCGCGGUAAUACGUAGGGUGCAAGCGUUGUCCGGAAUUAUUGGGCGUAAAGAGCUCGUAGGCGGUUUGUCGCGUCUGCUGUGAAAACUGGAAGCUCAACUUCCAGCCUGCAGUGGGUACGGGCAGACUAGAGUGCGGUAGGGGAGAACGGAAUUCCUGGUGUAGCGGUGGAAUGCGCAGAUAUCAGGAGGAACACCGAUGGCGAAGGCAGUUCUCUGGGCCGUUACUGACGCUGAGGAGCGAAAGCGUGGGGAGCGAACAGGAUUAGAUACCCUGGUAGUCCACGCCGUAAACGGUGGGUGCUAGCUGUGGGCCACAUUCCACGUGGUCCGUGACGAAGUUAACACAUUAAGCACCCCGCCUGGGGAGUACGGCCGCAAGGCUAAAACUCAAACGAAUUGA
rnacentral:rRNA from 1 species